rnacentral:rRNA from 1 species
AGUGAACGCUGGCGGUAGGCCUAACACAUGCAAGUCGAACGGCAGCACAGUAAGAGCUUGCUCUUACGGGUGGCGAGUGGCGUACGGGUGAGGAAUACAUCGGAAUCUACUUUUUCGUGGGGGGUAACGUAGGGAAACUUACGCUAAUACCGCAUACUACCUACGGGUGAAAGCAGGGGAUCUUCGGACCUUGCGCGAUUGAAUGAGCCUAUGUCGGAUUAGCUAGUUGGCGGGGUAAAGGCCCACCAAGGCGACGAUCCGUAGCUGGUCUGAGAGGAUGAUCAGCCACACUGGAACUGAGAAACGGUCCAGACUCCUACGGGAGGAAGCAGUGGGGAAUAUUGGACAAUGGGCGCAAGCCUGAUCCAGCCAUCCCGCGUGAGUGAAGAAGGCCUUCGGGUUGUAAAGCCCUUUUGUUGGGAAAGAACAGCAGCAGGUUAAUACCCCGCUGUUCUGACGGUACCAAAGAAUAAGCACCGGCUAACUUCGUG